AACAAUAGGAGGGUGAGACAUAAUUCGGUAAAAGAGAAAAGAAAACCUACGUCGCCGUUGGGACUACGAAGAAAGUAUCGGGGUGGGAGGAGGGGGACCGACGUUGAUACGGAAUUGUUACGGCUGCACCCACGUACGAACGUUGUAUGCGGACGGAGGAACAAGAGAAGCGUGUAAAGUAUGACGGUAUCGGAUGCAUAAGUAAGAAACUGUACACAGUGGGAUGUUGCGCGAUUGCGGUGUCGACGUUAGAUAAUAACCGGAAGCCACUCUACUUUCGUUGUAUAAUAUUGGUCGGCCGCACCGGUGGUCUACGUAGUUUCACAAGAGUAUUGCACUUGCUACACACGCGUGUCGUGUACCGGAGCCGUAGGAACCACCGAUGGAAAUAUCGUACGGUCACUUUACGCUACGUAUAUAUAUAUCGGUGUGACUUGACUCGAUUUUCCAUCGUCUCUUUGAAACCCGUGGAAAACGGCGUCGGGAAAUCGUCCCUCGUUAGAUUCGGUACGUGGGCGACGGAUCCCCUCGACGUUUAACCUAUCGACAUUUGAAAUACAUCUACGAUCGGCUCGUACGGUGCAACAAUGGAUUAUGGUAAUGCUCGAAAGUGGCGAUGACGUAAAAGCGUAUUUAGAGCAAGCGUUACCUAUCGCCAUUGGUGACUAAAAGUAUCUAUGCGGUUGCCGUCGCCGUUGCCGAUGCCGUUGCCGUUGCGGGAGCCAGGAAGUAUAAAUUGCACGUAUUUAUCGGCGACGCCCUUAUCCCGUUGUUCAUAAGCCGACUCGGCUAACGAUAUACCGGUAUACCCGAGUUCAAAGAUCACUCAAACGAAUGCCUUUGUGCGUUCACUAUCCACCUAUUUAUUUCCAAUUCUAUUGCGUAGAUGUUGCGAUACCUGCACAGGUAUAAAAUACAUAUAUCCUGUUAGAGAGAUAUUUUCUCGCCACGUCCGGCCGUCAAGGCGAACCUCCGCACACCUAUGAUCGCGAUAUCCCCGGCUUCGGUUCAAGAUCGUCGGAUCGAAAAGAAUAAUUAAAGAAAAAAGGAAUACGACAAGAGCUCCGAUUCGACGAGCGGAAAAAAAAAAACACGAUACGGACCGCUGGAAUCGAUUACGCACGGUGGAUUGAUUUCCGAGUGCUCCCAGAUGAGGGAACAACGCGCGACGGACCGGACGCGGCGCGAGCAAAUCCUUGCGGUGAAUAUCGAAACAGGAUCCGUCCGUCCGCACCCCGUCGAUUAGUUCCCGUGGUUCAUCGCGGAUUUUCCGCGCUCCGGUACAAGAGAGAGACCCGGAGGUAACGAUAAUCGAUAGACGUAGCGAACCCGUCGGCGAACCCGCUCCGCGGCCGCUGCACAAUCUCGAUGAUAAUUUAUGUUUUUCCACCGCACAAUCGCGACACCGGGUUGUUGAUAUCGGAAUUGUACCAAUAUUGACGGGCGGCCAAGGAGCGCCGCUUGCCUACACAAUGCUCGCCUCGAUACGAUGUCGAGCAUAACGUACCCGCAGGUGUAUGGAAUGCAUAGAAAUUCACGCGAACAAGUAGCCACCUGGAUUUCUUCGGUUGAGAAAUAUAAACCCACACGUAUAUCGCCGGCGUUCGAAGAGAUUAUUUUCCAGGUGACGAGGAAUUGUUUAUUAUACUAUGUCGGUUCGACUGUAAUCUCGAGCUAUUGAUCGAUCGACUCACGCGUCGUCGUUGACUUUUUCGCGUUGAAAAUUCCCCCCCUCCCCCCCCGUUCAGCGACGAAUUCGGAGUAGGUACGCGGAUUCUCCUCGAGUCUCGAUCGCGAAUCGUCUGGAUACAUUUACUCGAACCUGCAGCAAUGCGGUGGUCAAUUCUAUAAUUAGUUACUUUACUUGGCUACACCGGAACCGGCGGGGCGACGCUGUAAAGGAAUUACUCUUCGAUAUAAGACGACGAGGUCGAGCCUAUUUAUAAACGUCACAACAAGCUGCACGAUGGAAACGCCGUAGCGACGAACGAUAGCCGUGUGUGAUUGUAGCGUAGCCCGAAGAUUGAAAAAGUCCGAUAACAUCCGCGGUAAUGCAACUCACGAGGCUUAAAAACUUGAGAAGCAACAGCUACGCGUCGACUCUUUUUACAUAAAAUGUCGUAUCUACGCGAGAAAUACGGCGACUACCCGUCCGAUUCAUAUACCAUAUUGAAAAUAUUCCGCAAUCGAGGCGUCCGAGUUAAUUAACUUCCCCCAUUCUUAGCGUGGCAUUUUCUCUUUGCCCCGGUAGCGCGUUUCACGCCGUCGUGACCCCGACCCUCAAGGGCGUUGUUUCAAACUCCUGAGAUUUUCAUUUCCGGAGGCGCUUAUCAACAGCUCCGAACGAAAAAUACCCCGACGUGAUCUCCGUGUGAAUCGGAGGGGAAAUAAAUCUUUAAAAUGGAGGGGAAAAAAAAACAUAGGCAUUUACGACGAAUUAUUGUACAUCGAGAAAAGAGGGAGUGAAAGGGAGGGAGAGAGAGUGAGAGAGGGAGAGAGAGAGAGAGAGAGAAUGUCGGAAACCGUUACGAGUUAAACACGAAUAACUCGCUACACGGUAUCGUGCGACGGCUAAAAUUCAACGAACACCCGGAAAAGGACGUAUUUAUUCACACCGUCACACGUACGGAAUAAAGUUUACCGAUCGCCGAGAGAUCCGCAUCGUUGCGAUAAGUGAUCGGAAGAUAUACAUCGCCUUCGGAUGCAAAUCGACCGCCGCCGCGAGGUGAGGCGAGGCGGAUCACCUUCGACGCAUUGUAAAGAACCGUUAAUCUUUGGAACACGUAUCCACGGCUCAACCGCGUCUUUUCCGAUCCACUCGGAACGCGAUUCUCCCGAAACGAGAUGUUCGAGACCCGAGUCCGGAAUAUUCUUCUCCCAUAAUUCUUCGGGUUAAAAUCCUGCACUGCGGUAUAUUCUUCCAGGUCGGUUCGCGGGGGGGGGAGGGGGGUUCGGGAAUAGGGAAGAGAAGCAGUCGGUGCGGGAAGGCUGAGAAUCAAGGAGGUCGGAGGCGAGGCGGAGGCGAGGCGAGAGGAAAGAAGGAAGGAAGUCGAGGGAGCGGUUCUACCUGCGAGAGAAGGAAGUUCCGUGAAACGGAAGCGAAAGCGAAGGGAGGAAGGAGGCGCCGAGGCGCGGAAAGUCGAGCUCCGAGGGUGGAUCGGGAGAGCGAAAAUGGCGAACAGGCCGGAACCGGAACCCGCGCUACGGUCCCGAUAUAACGGAAGCGUCGCGUUUGCCGGAAGUCGCCAAGGAAAUGAAAUGCCUCGCGCUGCCAGGGUUUCCAUUCUGCUCGCGGCGUAGACUCCUGCGCAACUCUACCCGACGAAUCUCCCCAGCGACUAGCCGACGCCUCGGAUUUUCAACAACGCCAACGACGACGUAACGCCCCAUUAGAGAAAACCUCGUCCGUUACAUUUACGCACAGCUCCGACUUCCGGUUGACGAUGUCUGGAAUAGCGACGUACAAAGUACGAAGAGGUGGAGGAGAAGGAAGUGGAGAAGGCGCGCGGGAAACGGGAAGCGCUCCAGGAAGAUUAGGAGGAAGAAGAAAAACGAGAAAAAGACGAGGAAGCGGUGGAGAGAAAGGAAGAGACGGAGUAAACCGGAGGCUCACACCCAUUAGACUCAACGUUCCUCUUAAUUUAUUACAUCGCUGCACGUUACCCACCCCGUCGCGGAGCGAACCACCUCCGCCGAUUCCGAACUCCGCUCUCCGAGAAUUUUGCAUGAAUAAUUGUCAAGAUUUUUCGGAGGACUUGGAAGUGCUCGGUAUUAAUUACCAUUUCAAAUAAAAUCUCUUAUAAAACCAAAUUCCAAAUGGAAUCCCUUUUCGGACUGUCAGUCGAACCGUGAUGGGACGAUGAAAAAAAAAUAAAGAAACUAGUUCAAGAA